rnacentral:rRNA from 1 species
AUUGAACGCUGGCGGCAGGCUUAACACAUGCAAGUCGAGCGAGCGGCGGACGGGUGAGUAAUGGCUGGGAAAACGCCUGAUGGAGGGGGAUAACUACUGGAAACGGUAGCUAAUACCGCAUACCAUCAGAUGUGCCCGGAUGGGAUUAGCUAGGAGGUGGGGUAAUGGCUCACCUAGGCGACGGUCCCUAGCUGGUCUGAGAGGAUGACUAGCCAGACUGGAACUGAGAGAGGGUCCCGACUCCGAAGCGAGGCAGCAGUGGGGAAUAUUGCGCAAGGGGGGCAAGCCUGAUGCAGCCAUGCCGCGUGUAUGAAGAAGGCCUUCGGGUGGGAAAGUACUGUCAGCGGGGAGGCGUUACCCGCAGAAGAAGCACCGGCUAACUCCGUGCCAGCAGCCGCGGUAAUAC